rnacentral:lncRNA from 1 species
CUCAAGGAUCACCUCUCGGAAGCCACUUUUCCCCUGUACUACCUUAUCUAAAAUACCUCCACCUUCCAUCCCACUCUGUCUCCUCACUACGCUGUCUUCAGAGCACAUACCUUCUGACAUUCUACAUGAACUCACUGGCUUGGUUCGUUUGGUUUCUUCACUGGAAUUAAAGUGCCACAAGAACAGGCUUCAGGAUGAAAACCUCCUGUCCUCUAGACUCCUAACAAUGCUCUUCAUAAGACAUGAGUCUGAACACAUGGCACCUGACUGCUUUUCUUAAAACCUGUGCCUUCAGAAUAAAGUCCAGAUUCCCUCCUUCACAAAGAAUAUGCUUUUAGAAUUCAGCAAUAAAAUGUAAAAUGGAUUGC